AAUUUUUGAGCUCUUAUGCUGCAGAAAAAUUAAAAAUAAGAAACAGAAAUGAAAAAUUAAAAAUAAGAAAUAGACGUGAGGGCUUGUUAUGUUUAGAGGGAGCAAGGAACCAGAUACCAAUAAAUGAAAGGUGUCAUAAACUCAUAAUAACAAAAAUCACAGGAACUGAAACUGAACAUGCAGUACCCAAAAAUCAAAUUAAUCUAUAUUACCUUACUUUUUUUGUGCUUG
rnacentral:misc_RNA from 1 species